AGGAGUUAGCUAGCACUACAUUUGGUGUUGAUACUGCACAAGAUACUGCUAGAGGAGAUACUGCUAGAGGAUCUGAUGAGCAUAUGGUGGAUCUGGACCACGUCCCGGGGACAAGAGAGAUACUGCUAGAGGAUCUGAUGAGCAUAUGCAUGAGACAGGUGGAUCUGGACCACGUCCCGGGGACAAGAGAGAUACUGCUAGAGGAUC